GUCUGAACCAGAAGAGAGAGAGCACCGCCUCUCAUCUUCAACCUGCAUCGAUCCACCGGACAUAUUUCGAGCAGAGAGGAGGAGGUGUUCUCUCUCUUCAUGUUCAGGC
rnacentral:pre_miRNA from 1 species